AGUGCGGUUGGAAAGAGUAUCGUCGGAGCUCCAAGAUCCGACAGUAGGGCGGGCCACUUGGGCCAGUCAUCCUGUCUUCCCUGGUAAGGGAAAUCCGAGGGUGGAGAGCCCCCGGUCUGAUCACGAUUCUACUCCCAGAGGAUUCCUACCUCCACUCUACCAAAAGACCCUCGAGACUCACAGUCGAGAGGACCUCCUGGAUCGAAGGCUCCAGGAGAUGAACCGACG
rnacentral:lncRNA from 1 species